rnacentral:sRNA from 1 species
AGUUUGCUGGUACAGUAACAAGUGUUUGGAUUUGUUGUCUCUGGGAACGUAACACGGCAGUGAGCUUUGGAAUAGUCACCAACUGAUUGGUUUCAAGCAUUGAACUGCAAUGUGAUAUGAAGAGAUUAUCCUUGUAGGGAAUAACUUCCUUUAUCCUUAUGCUGCAUGUUUUAGUUUUUUAGAGGUUUUUUAAAGAUUUGUUUAAAUGUGUGCCGUUUUUAAUAUUGUUUCCUAGGAAUAAAAUGUGCAUUCUGCAAUGUUGAAAAUAGCAUCAAGGAAGU